GGGAAGGUGGCUCAGUGGUAGAGUGCUUGCCUUGCAAGCCUGAGGCCCUGGGUUC
rnacentral:tRNA from 1 species